AGUGGCGGACGGGUGAGUAACACGUGAGAAUCUACCCAUAGGACGGGGACAACAGUUGGAAACGACUGCUAAUACCGGAUGAGCCGAGAGGUAAAACAUUGUAUGGCCUAGGGAUGAGCUCGCGACUGAUUAGCUAGUUGGUUGGGUAAUGGCUGACCAAGGCGACGAUCAGUAGCUGGUCCGAGAGGAUGACCAGCCACACUGGGACUGAGACACGGCCCAGACUCCUACGGGAGGCAGCAGUGGGGAAUUUUCCGCAAUGGGGGCAACCCUGACGGAGCAACGCCGCGUGAGGGAGGACGGUUUGUGGACUGUAAACCUCUUUUAAUAGGGAAGAAGAACUGACGGUACCUAUUGAAUAAGCAUCGGCUAACUCCGUGCCAGCAGCCGCGGUAAUACGGAGGAUGCAAGCGUUAUCCGGAAUUAUUGGGCGUAAAGCGUCCGCAGGUGGUUAGUCAAGUCAUUUGUAAAAUAUUCGAGCUUAACUCGGAAUGUGCAGGUGAAACUGAUUGACUAGAGUACGGUAGGGGUAGAGGGAAUUCCUAGUGUAGCGGUGAAAUGCGUAGAUAUUAGGAAGAACACCAGUGGCGAAGGCGCUCUACUGGGCCUGUACUGACACUGAGGGACGAAAGCUAGGGGAGCGAAAGGGAUUAGAUACCCCUGUAGUCCUAGCUGUAAACGAUGGAUACUAGGUGUUGCGCGUAUCGACCCGUGCAGUAUCGUAGCUAACGCGUUAAGUAUCCCGCCUGGGGGAGUACGCACGCAAGUGUGAAACUCAAAU
rnacentral:rRNA from 1 species